UUUGCUGGACUGCUUUCUUGGCAGACAAUUUCCCAGUACUCUUAAUUCCCAGAUUAUUUUGGUGUAUAGAAGGCAACACCUGCCGUCUCCAUGACGCUCAUUCAUUUCUGUUCGCCGCCAUAUUUUUAAACCUAGUCCGGCUGCUCUAUGCUUUUAAUUUUUAACAUUUGCUACUCAUUUUCAUCCCAGUUGUGUUUCUACCGGUAAGAAAUGCUUUUAAUAACAAGAAGUCAACUGUUGAGCUUACUUUUGUCCUCAUUAAAGUUCAUUUAGCGGAGACACCAAGUUUUAUUAUCGAAGUAGGCGGUUGAUGCGACGCGUUCAGGGUCCUCGUCAUUAUCGGUAAUUACUUGUUACCGGGUUCGGAGAUGUUUGCACUAGAAAUAUGGAAAUCUAUAUAUUCAAUGGACGGUUUACGCCUCGAACUGGACCGUCCGAACGGAUUAACGGUUCCGGUUGCUGCUAGUAGUUUCGAGAAGGAGUACAACGACAAGGUGAGGGACGCAGAGACCUGAUUGGAGUUUCUACUGAACAACAACAAAAACUGAUUUCUAAACAUCUUUUGACUGAAACGAAGUGGACCUAAACUUACUCGGUGAAGCCGGCCGGUCAGGUGAAGAUGGGCAGUGCCGGGUCUGAGGUGUGUUUCUGGAUCUCAGCGGGUCCUGAGGUCAGGUCCAGGUUCACUGGCAAAGACGGGAAGCGGACCGUCUCACACAGGCUCAUGUUGG